UACGUAGGUGGCAAGCGUUGUCCGGAAUCAUUGGGCGUAAAGCGCGCGCAGGCGGUCCUUUAAGUCUGAUGUGAAAUCUUGCGGCUCAACCGUAAGCGGCCAUUGGAAACUGGUCGACUUGAGUGCAGAAGAGGGAAGUGAAAUUCCAUGUGUAGCGGUGAAAUGCGUAGAGAUAUGGAGGAACACCAGUGGCGAAGGCGGCUUCCUGGUCUGUAACUGACACUGAGGCGCGAAAGCGUGGGGAGCAAACAGGAUUA
rnacentral:rRNA from 1 species